GAUGAACGCUGGCGGCGUGCCUAAUACAUGCAAGUCGAGCGAACGGACGAGAAGCUUGCUUCUCUGAUGUUAGCGGCGGACGGGUGAGUAACACGUGGAUAACCUACCUAUAAGACUGGGAUAACUUCGGGAAACCGGAGCUAAUACCGGAUAAUAUUUUGAACCGCAUGGUUCAAAAGUGAAAGACGGUCUUGCUGUCACUUAUAGAUGGAUCCGCGCUGCAUUAGCUAGUUGGUAAGGUAACGGCUUACCAAGGCAACGAUGCAUAGCCGACCUGAGAGGGUGAUCGGCCACACUGGAACUGAGACACGGUCCAGACUCCUACGGGAGGCAGCAGUAGGGAAUCUUCCGCAAUGGGCGAAAGCCUGACGGAGCAACGCCGCGUGAGUGAUGAAGGUCUUCGGAUCGUAAAACUCUGUUAUUAGGGAAGAACAUAUGUGUAAGUAACUGUGCACAUCUUGACGGUACCUAAUCAGAAAGCCACGGCUAACUACGUGCCAGCAGCCGCGGUAAUACGUAGGUGGCAAGCGUUAUCCGGAAUUAUUGGGCGUAAAGCGCGCGUAGGCGGUUUUUUAGUCUGAUGUGAAAGCCCACGGCUCAACCGUGGAGGGUCAUUGGAAACUGGAAAACUUGAGUGCAGAAGAGGAAAGUGGAAUUCCAUGUGUAGCGGUGAAAUGCGCAGAGAUAUGGAGGAACACCAGUGGCGAAGGCGACUUUCUGGUCUGUAACUGACGCUGAUGUGCGAAAGCGUGGGGAUCAAACAGGAUUAGAUACCCUGGUAGUCCACGCCGUAAACGAUGAGUGCUAAGUGUUAGGGGGUUUCCGCCCCUUAGUGCUGCAGCUAACGCAUUAAGCACUCCGCCUGGGGAGUACGACCGCAAGGUUGAAACUCAAAGGAAUUGACGGGGACCCGCACAAGCGGUGGAGCAUGUGGUUUAAUUCGAAGCAACGCGAAGAACCUUACCAAAUCUUGGCAUCCUUUGACAACUCUAGAGAUAGAGCCUUCCCCUUCGGGGGACAAAGUGACAGGUGGUGCAUGGUUGUCGUCAGCUCGUGUCGUGAGAUGUUGGGUUAAGUCCCGCAACGAGCGCAACCCUUAAGCUUAGUUGCCAUCAUUAAGUUGGGCACUCUAAGUUGACUGCCGGUGACAAACCGGAGGAAGGUGGGGAUGACGUCAAAUCAUCAUGCCCCUUAUGAUUUGGGCUACACACGUGCUACAAUGGACAAUACAAAGGGCAGCGAAACCGCGAGGUCAAGCAAAUCCCAUAAAGUUGUUCUCAGUUCGGAUUGUAGUCUGCAACUCGACUACAUGAAGCUGGAAUCGCUAGUAAUCGUAGAUCAGCAUGCUACGGUGAAUACGUUCCCGGGUCU
rnacentral:rRNA from 1 species